UACGUAGGGGGCAAGCGUUGUCCGGAAUCAUUGGGCGUAAAGAGCGUGUAGGCGGCUUGGUAAGUCCGCUGUGAAAGUCCAGGGCUCAACCCUGGAAUGCCGGUGGAAACUGUCAAGCUUGAGUCCGGAAGAGGCGAGUGGAAUUCCUGGUGUAGCGGUGAAAUGCGCAGAUAUCAGGAGGAACACCAAUGGCGAAGGCAGCUCGCUGGGACGGUACUGACGCUGAGACGCGAAGCGUGGGGAGCAAACAGG
rnacentral:rRNA from 1 species